CUGCAGUCCAUGCGGUCGCCAAGAGUCAGACAUGACUGAGUGACAGAACAACAACAAGCUGGCAUAUGCUUUUCAUCCUUCUUGUCUGGCAUGUGGAUACGAUGCCCAGAGAGACAGCAGUCAUCCUGGGAGUUUAUCCUCUCAGGAUCCUCAGGGAGGCAAGGGACUUGGCACCAGCAGCUUUGAAAUCCGCACUGACGGCUUCCAACCCAGAGACAGAAGGAGCGACGCCUCUAACUUCAAUGGGAGGGCAAAAAACUCCAGAGGACUGAUCUGAUUGGUUUAGAAGAUACUCCUUGAACCAGUUACCAUGGACAAAAGGAAGAGAUAAUAUGACUGGCCAGCCCACAGGGGAAGGCACACCUGGAAAUAACCUUCAGCCAAAUAUCUGGGCAUCCUAUGAAACACUCAAGUUGACGUGUAAAAUUAACCAUCACAGCCAGUGUGGAGCAGAGGAGUGAGCAAGAGGAAGAUGGACAAGAGAUGCUAUCAGAGUGAUGGGGAAGGACUCAACCAAAAAGGGUUCAUAGAAUACCAUGAGUAGGUUGGGUUUUAGUCUGAGUUAAGCAGAAGCCUUUGGAGGACUUUGAGUGAGGAACUGACGUGAUCUGAUUUACCUUUUCAAAAUACCCCUCUGUGGAGUGUUUGCUGGCCAGGUGGUGGGGGAGGGGGGUGAUGUAGAAGUAGGGAGUUAGGUUGGUAAGUGUAUUGGUCAGGAUGGGCUGAGUAAGACCAGAGUAAUGAUGCUUCAUGUCUUAUAGCUCUACUCCACAUCAUCUCUACUCUAGAAUAUGUGCCUCUGUAUGCAAUGCUCAUUGGUCUCAUGGUAGAGACAAAAACGAUGAUGGUGAAUCACAUGCAAAUUCUGCACUCUUUUGCCUCAAAGUGACACACAUCACAUCCUUCACAUUUCCUUGACUGAGUGAAGUCAUGUGACUAACCCUGGCAUCAUCGGAGGUGGGGAAAUAUAAUCCUCCACCAAGAGGAACAGUGAAUACUUGGAAACUAUGGUCCAAUCUACCACAGAAGACUUGCAAUAAUCAAGGCAAAAUGAAGAUAACUAGAGUGGCAGUGGUUGAGGUGGUUGAAAGAGGUCAGAUUUGGGGUAGAGCUGGGAGGACUUACUGACUGAGUAAAUGUAGGCAAGUAAAUAGGAAUGAAUGAAGAGCUAAGAAAGACUCCAAGGUUUUGGUCUGAACAUCUUGGGGAAUGGUGGUGUCAUUUGCUGAGUUGGAGAAGACUGAAAGAAGGCUAGGUUUGAGGGGAAAAAUUAGGAAAGCCAUUUUGGGUGUGUUGGGUCAGAGAAAUGAUGGGUUUGAAGGUAAAAUUCAGGAAUCAACAGCAUACAGGUUGCCUUUGAAGCCUUGGGGUUGGAUGAGAUCACAUGCUUGUACAUGUGUGCUCAGUCUUGUCUGACUCUUUGUGACCCCAUGGACUGUAUGUAGCCGAUCAGACUUCUCUGUCCAUGGGAUUCUCCAGGGAAGAAUGUUGGAGUGAAUUGCCAUUUCCUCACUUAGGGGAGACAAAAAGACUGGGAUUGAGUUGUGGGGUAUCCCAACAUAAAAAGGUCAGGAAAAAAACGGAACCUAGAAAAGGAGAAAGGGACGAGACAGACUGGCAAGAGGGAAACAAAACUGAUGGUCCAGAAGCCAAGGGAAAUAGUGUUUCAUGAAGAGAAGACAGUGUCACUUGCUGCUGAGAUAUUGAGUGAGAAGAGAACUAAAACCCAUCACUGGAUUUGGCCAGACGCAAGUGCUGGUGAUCUUGAAAAGCCAUUGGUGACCUGGGUAUGCAAGUCUUAUUGGAAUGGGUGGAGAAGAGCACACAAAAUUCACACUUGUGAUUUAAAGGCCAAUGCUGUCUUUGCUUUGCUAUACUGCAUAGAAAGUUCUCAUGUACAAAACGGAGUUGUUGAAAACCUUAUAAAAUCAAAAAACUUGUACCUUA